CCAAACCAGACUGCCUUUUCUUUGGUUCACAAGAAAUUUUGAGCUCUUUGUUGUUUGUAGGAUGGCGACGAAUAAUGACAUGGCAGCACCUCCUACGAGUGCUGGACUAGACUGCAUACAGGUGCUGCUUCGUCAGGUCGAUUCUUCCACGCAAGACGGGGAGGCCUUCAUCGAGCUUCAUGGAACCCUUCGUUGCUCCUUGCUUCUUCCGGCGGUUCUCAUGAUUUCGUGUGCAUUAUCCUAAUUUGAUCUUAUAGACUUUGUUUUGUAAAAUCAAAGAAACCUAUUACCAUUUUUUCAACUUA